UACGGAGGAUGCAAGCGUUAUCCGGAAUGAUUGGGCGUAAAGCGUCCGCAGGUGGCUGUGUAAGUCUGCUGUUAAAGAGUCAUGCUCAACAUGAUAAGAGCAGUGGAAACUACACGGCUAGAGUGCGUUCGGGGCAGAGGGAAUUCCUGGUGUAGCGGUGAAAUGCGUAGAGAUCAGGAAGAACACCGGUGGCGAAAGCGCUCUGCUGGACCAUAACUGACACUCAGGGACGAAAGCUAGGGGAGCGAAUGGG
rnacentral:rRNA from 1 species